rnacentral:rRNA from 1 species
GACGAACGCUGGCGGCGUGCCUAAUACAUGCAAGUUGAGCGCUGAAGGUUGGUACUUGUACCAACUGGAUGAGCAGCGAACGGGUGAGUAACGCGUGGGGAAUCUGCCUUUGAGCGGGGGACAACAUUUGGAAACGAAUGCUAAUACCGCAUAAAAACUUUAAACACAAGUUUUAAGUUUGAAAGAUGCAAUUGCAUCACUCAAAGAUGAUCCCGCGUUGUAUUAGCUAGUUGGUGAGGUAAAGGCUCACCAAGGCGAUGAUACAUAGACGACCUGAGAGGGUGAUCGGCCACAUUGGGACUCGAACACGGCCCAAGCUCCUACGGGAGGCAGCAGUAGGGAAUCUGCGGCAAUGGACGAAAGUCUGACCGAGCAACGCCGCGUGAGUGAAGAAGGUUUUCGGAUCGUAAAACUCUGUUGGUAGAGAAGAACGUUGGUGAGAGUGGGAAGCUCAUCAAGUGACGGUAACUACCCAGAAAGGGACGGCUAACUACGUGCCAGCAGCCGCAGUAAAAC